GCUCUUCCGAUCUGAAAGGCGCCUGCCUCUCCCAUCUGCCUGUCUGGCUGGCAGGGAAGGAAAAGAACAUGCAUGUUGGUGAAGGAAGAAGCUGGGUGGGACGACAGUGAAAUCGAGAGUGAAAACCAAGCUGGUCCGGGGUGUCCUGCAGGCUGUAAAAUGCAGUUUAAUCAGAGUGCCAUUUUUUUUUGUUCAAAUGAUUUUAAUUGUUGGAAUGCACAGUUUUUUUAAUAUGCAAUAAAAAGUACUAAAACCUG